GGAAAUCCUUGGUCCUGCACAUUGGCCGUAAGAGCCCCAGGCAACGCUACAGGCAGGGUGGGUUUGGGGCAGGCUUGGGGCAGAGUGGCUGGAAGACCGCGGAGAGGAAACAGACCUGGGGGUGUUGGUCGAUGCUCGGCUGAGGUGGCCGAGAGGGCCAGUGGCAUCCCGGCUUGUAUCAGGAGUGGCAGUGCCAGCAGGAGCAGGGAAGUGAUCAUCCCUCUGCACUGAGCUCUGGUGAGGCUGCACCUGGAGUGCUGUGCUCGGUUUUGGGCCCCUCACGGCAGGAAAGACAUGGAGGCCCUGGAGCGUGUCCAGAGAAGGGCAACGAAGCUGGUGAGGGGUCUGGAGCACAAGUCUUAUGAGGAGACUCGUAAGCUCAGGAAGCUGGGAUUCUUCAGCCUGGAGGAGGCUCAGGGGAGACCAUAUCGUGCUCUGCACCUACCUGAAGGGAGGUUGUGGUGAGCUGGGGGUUGGCCUCUUCUGCCAUGUCACUAGCAGUAGGACUAGAGGGAACGGCCUCAAGCCGUACCCGGGGAGAUUCAGGUUGGACGUUAGGAAACGCUUCUUCUUUGAGAGGGUGGUCCGGUGCUGGAAUGAGCUGCCCAGGGAGGUGGUGGAGUCAUCAUCCCUGGAGGCGUUCAAGAAACGUUUAGACGUUGUACUGAAGAACGUGGUUUAGUGGGAAAUGCUGGUGAGAGGUCAGUUUGCA
rnacentral:lncRNA from 1 species